rnacentral:rRNA from 1 species
GACAGAGGUGCCGAGCGUUAGGCGGAAUCACUGGGCUUAAAGCGUGUGUAGGCGGAUUCCUAAGUACCUUGUGAAAUCCCAUGGCUCAACCAUGGAACUGCUUGGUAUACUGGGUGUCUUGAGCCAGCUAGGGCUACCGGAACAAAUGGUGGAGCGGUGAAAUGCGUAGAUAUCAUUUGGAACGCCAAUGGUGAAAACAGGUAGCUGGGGCUGUGCUGACGCUGAGACACGAAAGCCAGGGGAGCGAACGGG